rnacentral:rRNA from 1 species
UACAGAGGUCCCAAGCGUUGUUCGGAUUCAUUGGGCGUAAAGGGUGCGUAGGCGGCCCUGUAAGUAUGGUGUGAAAUCUCCCGGCUUAACUGGGAGGGUGCGCUAUAGACUGCGGGGCUCGAGUGUGGGAGAGGAAAGUGGAAUUCCUGGUGUAGCGGUGAAAUGCGUAGAUAUCAGGAGGAACACCGGUGGUGUAAACGGCUUUCUGGACCAUAACUGACGCUGAGGCACGAAAGCGUGGGUAGCAAACAGG